GGGGGAUGAUACUGUUGUCUUUGUUCCUGAUAAUCUGUAAGUAGAGUCCACAAAGUAUAUCUCUGCAUUUAUAUUUUUGUGUCGUUAUCAAGCUUGAUAAGAACGAUGGUAGGAAAAUAACAAGAAGUUCUUUGUAAAGGAGAAGGAAGGGACAUUCUUUUGUUCAGGGAGCUGCAUUACCCCUUCUGCAGCUGUCCAUGCUGUUGUUCCCUUACUAUAACUGGGAGGUGAAUAUAAUCUACUUACUCGAGCUUUCCAAAGCAAAGCCUGCUGCCUCAUUGCUGAUGUCAAGAGGUCUGCUUCCUUCUUUUCUCCUCUUCUCGGGUUGUGGGGAGAGAAACUCAAGCCUCAGAAGGCUACGUGCAUUGUCUGAGGAGCCUAAACAAACACCCCAGAGAACAGAGGUUAGCACCGUGGGCUGUCUACCUUCCUGCUCUAAUCUUUACAAUGGUGCCAUUCUUCACCUUUUCUUUCUCUCUUGAACAAUCACUGGCUUAAAUUGUACCUGUUCCAGCAAGACAGGUUUGCAGGUUUCAUAAGCCUUCAUGACAGUAAG
rnacentral:lncRNA from 1 species